AUAAAGGGACAGUGACAGCUGCAAAACCCCAACCUGAAUCUCCUUUCCUGCACAAAGUUCAUGGCUCCAGAAUAGCAGCGAUGGCACCAGUUCUUGCCGUAAAAGAGCAGCUCGCCGUCCCUGCAUUUCCCCAAGUCAGCAUCCUGGAGGUCACAGCAGCGAGCGGCUGGAGGCGUGCUGGUGCCAAGCCAUCAGGCUGCGGGAGCAGGCACAGCCCGCGGGCUGCUGCGGGAAAGCAGCCACCUCCCCUGAGCUUUCACUACCAAUGACUUUAGAAACAAGUUUUAAAAGACCUCUCAGCCCUUCCUUCCCUUCCAAAGAUCCCUAUGUGUUUCACAACCUCUUUUCCGCCCAUAGCUGCAUUUUGAAGAGCAGGAAACUCAGGGACAUCUCUUUGCUCCUCUCCUUCCUGACCUCCUUGCUGCACAGGCGAGGACGUGGGGCAGCGGGAGCCAUGAUGGUGUGCCACCACCUCUCUUUCAAAGCCUCCCUUUGGUCCAGCCCACACUGGCAUCUCCACCCUUUGCUUGAGGUGAGGAUGCUGCUGCAGGUGGCCCAGGGUUGUGGUGCAGACCUGGUCCCCUCCUGCUGGCUCCCAGGCUCUUCUUAUCCAUGCUCUGGGCUGGCAGCAGUGCCCCCCUGCUCCCUUUCUGCUUACCCGAGCUGGCGUUGGGGAGAGAUAGAACACAGCGGAAAGCUGCUAAUGACUGCCAUCCAAAGGAAGGAUUAUGAUCGCUUUCCCCUGAAUUGUUUGCUCUCACUGUAAUUGAUGAGCCUUUAAUGAGUCUCAAGGGAUGAUGUGUUUGAAGGGAGCUCUUUCCUCUCCAUCCCGGAGGAAAACGGUGUUUCAACUGAUCUCAGCUCUUGGGGAAACAUGAAUAACUCUUCCCCUUUCUCUAUUGUCAUCCCCAGCCAUGCUCACAGCACGCUCCAGCAGCUGCCUGGCCGCAGCUCACCCACUUUUUACCUGCUCCUUUGUGACUGUUUUGGCAGCUCAGCAAAAGCAUGGAGCAGAUCUGUUGGGCAAAGCAUGAUGAGCGCUCAGCUUGGAUUGUUUCUGGCCCAUCUGUGCGUGCAGAAGCAAGGAAAAAUAGCUCCUAAUGGCCAGACCAUGUAAGAGGUGCUGUCUCUUGCUGAGGAUCUCUUGGGCAGAGGGGGGCCAAAGGGGCCAUGCAAACACAGAAUGGGGCUCAUUCAUCUAGGAGCAGAGCAGGGAGAGUAACUGAGCUGUGGCUGAGGCUGAAUAGGGAGGAAGAGCCAUCUUAAUGCUCUGCUUCUUUCAGUGCAAAGCAGGGAGAGAGGCUUUUGGGUUUUGCUGCUUUCUGAAGAGCCAAAAAAUGAACAAGAAAAAGAAAAAAGCCCUGGGUUAGGUCAGAGGGACGUGCUGUGAGUGGCUCUUUUUCCUUGCGGGUUUUUGCUUCUGGUUGUGUGGUGGGGACUGAUGAGUCCUCCCGGCGGGGAGGAGGCCCACUUGCUGCCCUUUGAAAUGAUUUGAGGUUUGGGUUGCAAAGAGGAGACAUUUUAAAAGACGCCAAAAUGGAGAGGAUGCUAGCUGGCUGUUCCCAUUCAAGAGGCUAUUUGUUUGAAAUAAGUUGACACUCACCAGCUGUCAAGAUCCUGCUGACUGGUGGAGCAUUGUUUACAUUCAAAGCUGUCUUAAAAAGCAAACACAAAACCAAGUUUCCCCAUUAGGGGGUCAGGCAGCAGAAGGGAGGAAGGGUGAGGAGGACAUCGCAGGGAUACAUGACCGUAAAUAUUUGCAGAGUAAUGUGUGUAAAUGCUCUUGCUCUUUCUCCUGGAAUGCAAUAACGCCUGCAAUUGAGUUCAUUGGCCAAAUUGGAUUUGGGCUCCUGUAGAAGUCUCUUUAUAUUAAGUGCUUUAACAUACAUCACCUUCUCAGUCUAUUGAUGAAAUUCUAUUAUCUACUCAGAGCCGGACACAACUCAGCAACAAAACCUGGGUGGAAAUAAAAACCUUCACAAAACCAAGCAAGGAACAGGUAAUGGGACCUGGGGCAUCUGGCUAUUGACAAAGAGUCAGCAUGCCUAUGUGCAGGGGGAGGUUUGUCCCUAACUGCCUGCCUCCCUCCCAGCAAGCUUCCGUGGGAGUAAAGCCCUUUAUGAGACUCUAGGAAAGCAAAGCAAACAGUUGCUGCGCCUUAACUUAAUUUAACUAUAUGACCAAGAGCAAGGUUUUGCUUGAACUGAAGCUAAUUCCAGCCUGGGUGAGUGCCAGGGAAAUUCAUCCUUCCAGCUCUCAGGGCUGCCUGGCGCGGAGGCGAGGACGGAAUGAGGACCGCAUGGCACCGCUGGCGCAGGCUUGGCCGUCCUUGACACCAGGAUGCUGUUACCUCUGGGGACCCGGUGCCUGGCUGCUAGGUUCUGUGGGGAUGGAGCAGGGGCAGCAUGGACUAUGCUCACCAGGGUUUUUGUGGUCUUCCCAAAGGUGCUGAGUGUGGCUGGGGCUGUCUGUGAGCUGCUGGGUCAGUUCUUGGGGGAACAUAGAAUCACAGAAUCAUGAAGGUCGGGAAAGACUUCUCGGAUCUCCAAGUCCAACC